UACGUAGGGUGCAAGCGUUGUCCGGAAUUAUUGGGCGUAAAGAGCUCGUAGGCGGUCUGUCGCGUCGGCUGUGGAAACCCGGGGCUCAACCCCGGGCCUGCAGUCGAUACGGGCAGACUAGAGUGCGGUAGGGGAGACUGGAAUUCCUGGUGUAGCGGUGAAAUGCGCAGAUAUCAGGAGGAACACCGGUGGCGAAGGCGGGUCUCUGGGCCGUUACUGACGCUGAGGAGCGAAAGCGUGGGGAGCGAACAGG
rnacentral:rRNA from 1 species